rnacentral:misc_RNA from 1 species
UGUUGGGAAUGCUAAAGCUUGCUUUAACCUGUACAGUAGAGUCACUUUCUGUGCGUCCAUCAAUGAAGCGGGUUCUUGAGAAAUUGAAACUUUUUAAAUCAUAAAAGCAUCAGAAAUUUUUGGCAAGGGAUAGUGAUGGGAAGGUGUAGCUGCUUAUGACUGCAGGAUAUUCCAUAUCUUGAGCUAAGAUGUACACUCUGGAAAUCUUGCUGCGUAAUCAUGGCUGGAUGAUCACCUUCAAAAUAAGAAUCAGUUUUCAGCUUGUUGUGGUAGUGAAGGAUGUAAAAUCAUCAACUGGGAUGUUCUGCACAAACUGUUGGCUAAUUGGACGGUUUACUAGUAACUUGACGAAAAUCAAGGCAUGGACCUUGGAUUUACAGCUGCUAGAUUUGAAGCAGAUUUUUGGAAUGCAAUUGCUAAAUUUGCCUUCUUGAAUUAAUCAGGUUUGAUGGAAGGGAGAAUUAUUGAAGAUAUGCAGGCUAUGCUUUGUAGACUUCUGGUUUUGGCUUUUCUGCCAUCCCUACAACUUAGAGUAACACUUAGCUUCCUCUGCUGACUGCUUUAUUGUUGGGACUGAAGAUCUUCCAUCAUCCUGUUCUGGAGGAUCUUUUAUUUACUGAUGUAUUAAGGUUUUUAAUUCCUUAUACAUGCUUACUUUUCUCAAAUAUAAAUGAAUAAAUUAACGCAAGAAUGAUUGAGCAUCUGUUGUGCUAACUAAGCAUUAUUGUCAGCAGAAACAUAGGACUAUGUU